GACGAACCGUGCGAACGUUGUUCGGAAUCACUGGGCUUAAAGGGCGCGUAGGCGGCUCGCCAGGUCGGGGGUGAAAUCCCACAGCUCAACUGUGGAAGUGCCUUCGAUACCGGCGGGCUCGAGGAAGGUAGGGGUGCGCGGAACUUCUGGUGGAGCGGUGAAAUGCGUUGAUAUCAGAAGGAACGCCGGCGGCGAAAGCGGCGCACUGGACCUUUUCUGACGCUGAGGCGCGAAAGCCAGGGGAGCAAACGGG
rnacentral:rRNA from 1 species